GAUGAACGCUGGCGGCGUGCCUAAUACAUGCAAGUCGAGCGAACAGACGAGGAGCUUGCUCCUCUGACGUUAGCGGCGGACGGGUGAGUAACACGUGGAUAACCUACCUAUAAGACUGGGAUAACUUCGGGAAACCGGAACUAAUACCGGAUAAUAUAUUGAACCGCAUGGUUCAAUAGUGAAAGACGGUUUUGCUGUCACUUAUAGAUGGAUCCGCGCCGCAUUAGCUAGUUGGUAAGGUAACGGCUUACCAAGGCAACGAUGCGUAGCCGACCUGAGAGGGUGAUCGGCCACACUGGAACUGAGACACGGUCCAGACUCCUACGGGAGGCAGCAGUAGGGAAUCUUCCGCAAUGGGCGAAAGCCUGACGGAGCGACGCCGCGUGAGUGAUGAAGGUCUUCGGAUCGUAAAACUCUGUUAUUAGGGAAGAACAAAUGUGUAAGUAACUAUGCACGUCUUGACGGUACCUAAUCAGAAAGCCACGGCUAACUACGUG
rnacentral:rRNA from 1 species